AUACAAGGUUACUAUUUCAGAACUAGUUCCCCGUUUUCUUCUGUUAAGAAUUGCACACUGUGUGACCUAUGAAUAGGAUUCAGCUUCAACUUAUUGGCCUGCAUCCAGCCCAUCACUGCCUCCAAGCACUAGUCUAACACCUCAACUGCUUGUUCCAAUUCCAAUCGGAGAGACGAGAGCUGGGUAUUAUCCACAUAUUGGUGACACCUCACUCCAAAUCUCCUGAUGACAGCUCCCAAUGGCUUCAUCUAGAUGUUAAAAAACAUGGGGGACAAGAUGCAAUCCUAAGGACAACUCCCAUGGUGCUGAACUGUAGCCUCCUAUAACUGCUCUCUGGAAAUGGUCAUGAAAGUAGGAGAGGAACCAUUGAAGGGCAGUGCCCCAAACCCCCACCUCCCUGAGAUGCUCCAAAUGGAAACCGUAGUCAACAGUAUCCAAAGCUGCCAAGAGAUGAAGAAGGAAUAGGGUUGCACUCCCCCCAUCUCUCUCCCGACAAAUGUCAUCAACCAAGAUAGUUUUAGUGCCAUGACUGGGACUGAAGCCAGACUGGAAUGGAUCUCAGUAAUCAGUUUCCGCCAAGUAUGCUUGAAGCUGGACCAUCACCACCUUCUCAAGCACCUUGUUCAAAAAGGGGGUAUUUGCCACUGGGCAAUAGUUAACACUUCUGGGUCAAGAGAGAUGUUCUUAAGAAGGGGACACACCACUGCCUCCUUCGAGGUCCAUGGUACUCCCCCACCUCCAGUGAAGCAUUGAUCACUCCCUGGACCCACCUACUCAACACCCUAUGGAAUAUGGCUCUAAGAAGCCUAGAUGGGCAGGGGUUAAGGGGGUAGAUGGUCAAGCAACUUGUCAAUGUUCUCAGGCUAUAUCUUAUCCAGUACAGAUGGAUCAAAAAGUGCCCUGGAUGCCUCCAAUGGACUUGCUCUUACUAUGGCAUCCAACAUCCGAAUCUGAGGAACUUUGUCCCUAAAGUGCCUUACAAAAUUGUUACAGCCAGCUGCUGACGAUGUCAAGUUUCAAAUCAGUCCAUUGAACCAUUUUAACUAUAAGCCGUAUAACCUUCCCGCCCCCCAAUUUCUCAUUAUGAUUGUGAAACGCAAUGCAGCCCUCACUCGUAACACAAUCCUAUAAUAAACCUUUUAAUUAAUUA